rnacentral:rRNA from 1 species
GACGAACGCUGGCGGCGUGCUUAACACAUGCAAGUCGAACGGAAAGGCCCUGCUUUUGUGGGGUUCUCGAGUGGCGAACGGGUGAGUAACACGUGAGUAACCUGCCCUUGACUUUGGGAUAACUUCAGGAAACUGGGGCUAAUACCGGAUAGGAGCUCCUGCUCCAUGGUGGGCGUUGGAAAGUUUCGGCGGUUGGGGAUGGACUCGCGGCUGAUCAGCUUGUUGGUGGGGUAGUGGCUUACCAAGGCUUUGACGGGUAUCCGGCAUGAGAGGGUGACCGGCCACAUUGGGCCUGAGAUACGGCGCAGUGUCGAACGGGAGGCAGCAGUGGGGAAUAUUGCACAAUGGGCGGAAGCGUGAUGCAGCAACGCCGCGUGCGGGAUGACGGCCUUCGGGUUGUAAACCGCUUUCGCCUGUGACGAAGCGUGAGUGACGGUAAUGGGUAAAGAAGCACCGGCUAACUACGUG